rnacentral:rRNA from 1 species
AUGCCGCGUGUGUGAAGAAGGCCUUCGGAUUGUAAAGCACUUUAAGUUGGGAGGAAGGGCAUUAACCUAAUACCUUGCUGUUUUGACGUUACCGACAGAAUAAGCACCGGCUAACUCUGU